AGCUUGCUCCCUAUUUCUCAGCGGCGGACGGGUGAGUAACACGUGGGCAACCUGCCCUACAGACUGGGAUAACUCCGGGAAACCGGAGCUAAUACCGGGUAAUACAUAGCAUCGCAUGAUGCAACGUUGAAAGUUGGCCUUUGACUAACACUGUAAGAUGGGCCCGCGGCGCAAUAACUAGUUGGUAAGGUAACGGCUUACCAAGGCCACGAUGCGUAACCCACCUGAGAGGGUGAUCGGCCACACUGGGACUGAAACACGGCCCAAACUCCUACGGGAGGCAGCAGUAGGGAAUCUUCCGCAAUGGACGAAAGUCUGACGGAACAACGCCCCGUGAGUGACGAAAGCCUUCGGGUCGUAAAGCUCUGUUGUUAGGGAAAAACAAGUACCGUUCGAAUAGGGCGGUACCUUGACGGUACCUAACCAGAAAGCCACGGCUAACUACGUGCCAGCAGCCGCGGUAAUACGUAAGUGGCAAGCGUUGUCCGGAAUUAUUGGGCGUAAAGCGCGCGCAAGCGGUCUCUUAAGUCUGAUGUGAAAGCCC
rnacentral:rRNA from 1 species